rnacentral:lncRNA from 1 species
UUCCCUUGUGUUUGUAUUUGUUUAUGUUUUUACAAAUGCUCUAAACUUGUAAUAACAUGUCUUUGUAUGACUUGUAUGCUUACAUGUUCAAACCUUUUGUAUGAUGUUGAACCUUUGGUUGUGAUAAUAUUGAACCUUAACAUGCAGGCCUUGAAUACCUUAACUUUUUUUCCAUGAUUAAGUUGAUGUUAUGUUUAAACCAUGUCUUACUUCUUGCAUAUACAUGUUCAUUCCUACUUAUUAUGAC